rnacentral:rRNA from 1 species
CCUACGGGUGGCAGCAGUGGGGAAUAUUGGGCAAUGGGCGCAAGCCUGACCCAGCAACGCCGCGUGAAGGAAGACGGCUCUCGGGUUGUAAACUUCCUUUAAGAGGGAAGAGCAGAAGACGGUACCUCUUGAAUAAGCCACGGCUAACUACGUGCCAGGAGCCGCGGUAAUACGUAGGAGGCAAGCGUUGUCCGGAUUUACUGGGGGUAAAGGGCGUGCAGCCGGGAAGACAAGUCAGAUGUGAAAUCCCGGGGCUCAACCGCGGAACUGCAGUUGAAACUGUUUUUCUUGAGUACCGGAGAGGUAAGCGGAAUGCCUGGUGUAGCGGUGAAAUGCGUAGAUAUAAGGAAGAACACCAGUGGCGAAGGCGGAUGACUGGACGGCAACUGACGGUGAGGCGCGAAAGCGUGGGGAGCGAACAGGAUUAGAUACCCUUGUAGUC